rnacentral:rRNA from 1 species
ACGCUGGCGGCGUGCCUAAUACAUGCAAGUCGAGCGAGCUUGCCUAGAUGAAUUUGGUGCUUGCACCAAAUGAAACUAGAUACAAGCGAGCGGCGGACGGGUGAGUAACACGUGGGUAACCUGCCCAAGAGACUGGGAUAACACCUGGAAACAGAUGCUAAUACCGGAUAACAACACUAGACGCAUGUCUAGAGUUUAAAAGAUGGUUCUGCUAUCACUCUUGGAUGGACCUGCGGUGCAUUAGCUAGUUGGUAAGGUAACGGCUUACCAAGGCAAUGAUGCAUAGCCGAGUUGAGAGACUGAUCGGCCACAUUGGGACUGAGACACGGCCCAAACUCCUACGGGAGGCAGCAGUAGGGAAUCUUCCACAAUGGACGCAAGUCUGAUGGAGCAACGCCGCGUGAGUGAAGAAGGGUUUCGGCUCGUAAAGCUCUGUUGGUAGUGAAGAAAGAUAGAGGUAGUAACUGGCCUUUAUUUGACGGUAAUUACUUAGAAAGUCACGG